rnacentral:lncRNA from 1 species
AGUAACAUGGGGAGAAAGCACCCCUCUUGUUUGCUUCCAAGUUUUAAUGCAGAAGCCAAAGGGUAGCCCGGUGCACUAAGUUUUCGCUAUGCGCGGGGUCCGUGGAAGGGCCGAACCACCAGGGUCUAUUGUACGCAGCCUUACCCUACAUUUCUGCAGGAGGCUGUUUUCUGGUCACAUGACAUCAAUUUUACCAGUCACGCUAAGGUUCUCCUUAAAAGAGAAACCAACUUUCUAGGAAAAUAUCAAAUUAUAUCAACUUCUUAUGUUUGGUGAAGAUAUUAGGUGCGAGUUAGUUUAUUUUCACUGGCAACUGGACAAAGACCCUUUCUUCUCCCUAAACAUAGGGAGACGUGUGCCAUUAUCAACUGAAACAGUGAACCUGGUAUGGCUUUGAAGCUUACUAGGACUACUUGGUAACAGUGGCUGAAUUUUAGUUUAAAUUAUGUAUUUAUCUUAAAAAGUUUAUUGAAAUAUAUAAAUUAUUAAUUUAGAACGAAGUAACUUAAAAGAAUUAAGAAUUUAGAACCCACAAACUCAAAAUCCUAGUUUCGUUUUUGCUUGAUAGUGACAAGUGAUAUAAUUAGGGUGCUUGCGGUUAGUUUUCAAAAUAGAACAAGAUCUUGUACAUUAUACAGUCAUACUACCGAAUAAUAAACUGUUACGCUCUU